GUUGUUUCAUAUACCCUGUAGUACCGAGCUGUGUUUGAGUGAUUAUGCAUACACAGUCGGUUACCGGGUGUGUGGCGCUUCUC
rnacentral:pre_miRNA from 1 species